UACGUAGGGGGCAAGCGUUGUCCGGAUUUAUUGGGCGUAAAGAGCGUGUAGGCGGCCAGACAGGUCCGUUGUGAAAACUCGAGGCUCAACCUCGAGAUGUCGAUGGAAACCGUCUGGCUAGAGUCCGGAAGAGGAGUGUGGAAUUCCUGGUGUAGCGGUGAAAUGCGCAGAUAUCAGGAAGAACACCCGUGGCGAAGGCGGCUCCUCUGGGACGGUA
rnacentral:rRNA from 1 species